UACAGAGGGUGCGAGCGUUAAUCGGAAUUACUGGGCGUAAAGCGCGCGUAGGCGGCUUUGCAAGUCGGAUGUGAAAUCCCCAGGCUUAACCUGGGAACUGCAUUCGAGACUGAAUUGCUAGAGUAUGGGAGAGGGAAGUGGAAUUUCCGGUGUAGCGGUGAAAUGCGUAGAUAUCGGAAGGAACAUCAGUGGCGAAAGCGACUUCCUGGACCAAUACUGACGCUCAUGUGCGAAAGCGUGGGGAGCAAACAGG
rnacentral:rRNA from 1 species